UAGGAAAUAUGUUGGUUUUGCCUACCUGGCAUUUGCUUUUCCCCUUUGUAGGAAAAGCCUAAAAGCUUUCUUUAAAGAACCACCUUUCUUUCAAUUGUGUCUUCUCCAGGGCUGAAGGAUGGAUAUUACCUCAAAGUCAAGUCACUUAGGGUGACCUCCAGAAUUCAGCAGUGAUGUCUUGAAGAUUAAAGCAGUGAUGUCUUGAAGCCUAAAACCAAAACCAGCGGUCUGUUGCUCUGAUAGUCAGCAAGGGCCAUUAAGCUGCUAUUUUAAGUUAGUUCAUUGCUGAAUGAUGUUCAGCUAAGACCUGGAGUAGGAAGAUGAAGACUCAUCUAGGUAAAAUGAACACAAGAAUUUUGGCAUGUAAAACUGUGUGGAUUAGAGUUCAAAGUAUGUCCUAAGUAAAAUUUAUAGAGGAAUAAAAGUAGCAGUUUUCAGAUCUUUUAUUUUGCAACUUUGAAGGAUUUCUUUGAUGGUCUUACGUAUGUCAUCACCUCUGAAGAGUGCAACAUAUGUCAUGCACACACAACUCAUCUUUCUAUCUCUAUCUUCUCUUGUCGACUGGAAAACCAGAUGAAUGGAGUGCAGAGGGAAGAGGGCCAGCUUGUUGUUUGGAAUUCCCAAGAUCAGCAUAUCUGAAGAUGCUUUAUUUAUGAAACACACGCUUCUUUAUUUUUUUGAAGUAGUAACAGCAAAGUUCACCGACAGCGUGAAAGAGAACGCUAGCAAAGGGUCAAGAGUGCUGAAGAAACCACCCAAACUGGAGGGAAGGCCUCAUGGCCAGUUUAGACUCCAGCAGCAGCUGCGCCUUCACGGACCAGCCAAUGAUCCUGACUUUCACGUUACAAACUCAGGCCACCAAGCAUGCAGUAUCUCUCCUCACAUCUAGGGACCCACCUGUGCAUGUGCUCAGGCCCACCUUACUUCCUUCAGUCUCACAUCAAUUGGUGUCGCUUCUACUGGGCAUUGUUCUAAUAGUCAUUCUCUUGACCUUCUAUUUUUAAAUGUUUCUUCUCCUCACUGCUUCUCAGCAGCCAUAUGUAUGCCCAAGACAACAAUAUAUGAAUAAUCAAUCAAAAGAAGUACUCGAACUUGGGACUACUUUUGGUUACUAGUUAUUAAAAUUUUCUCAAUAUACCCCAAGCUGCUGGAAAGAAUAUUCUGUAUUACUCUCUCUGCUUCUCUAUCUUCCAUUCAUUUUUAACCCACCACAAUCUAGCGUUCUGCUACAUUAAGCUUCUGAAACGACUCUGGCAAAUGUCACUAAUUCUAACUUUCAGUCCAUAUUUAUUUGACCUCUAGCUGCAUUUGACACAGCUGAUAAAUUUCUUCUAGAAACUUUCAUAUCCCUAGCCUUUUUUGACUGUAUUCUCCCUGUUUCUAUCAUUUCUUCUGAGUUGUUUUUAUGGGUCUCUCUUCCUCUGCUCACCCUUCAUGGUGUUUUGCGUGAGAGUCUUGUCUUCGUCUUUUCUUGCUUCACUCUGUUGCUCUUGAAUGACAGAACCUAUUUCUAGUCAUCCGUCUACCAUAAUAUAUGCCAAUGAUUACAUUCUCCUGUAACUUCAGCAUUGUUAAUAGAUCUUUCCGUUUUUUUAUUGCUUAAAUUCAACAUAUUGCUCAAACUCAACCCAUUUGCUUUUCCAUAAACUCUUUUCCUGAGCCACUUAAAAAGUGAUAUUAUCAUUUACGCAGUCACACAAAUCAGAAAACUGACAGGAACUUUCAACUUAAUUUCCUCUUUCCAGACCUAAUAAGUGCUAGAGUUCUGUCACUUCCAUAUCCCGAUGUCUCUGAUCACCGCUUCCU